rnacentral:rRNA from 1 species
GAUGAACGCUGGCGGCGUGCCUAAUACAUGCAAGUCGAGCGAACAGACGAGGAGCUUGCUCCUCUGACGUUAGCGGCGGACGGGUGAGUAACACGUGGAUAACCUACCUAUAAGACUGGGAUAACUUCGGGAAACCGGAGCUAAUACCGGAUAACAUGUUGAACCGCAUGGUUCAACAGUGAAAGACGGUCUUGCUGUCACUUAUAGAUAGAUCCGCGCCGCAUUAGCUAGUUGGUAAGGUAACGGCUUACCAAGGCAACGAUGCGUAGCCGACCUGAGAGGGUGAUCGGCCACACUGGAACUGAGACACGGUCCAGACUCCUACGGGAGGCAGCAGUAGGGAAUCUUCCGCAAUGGGCGAAAGCCUGACGGAGCAACGCCGCGUGAGUGAAGAAGGUCUUCGGAUCGUAAAACUCUGUUAUUAGGGAAGAACAAAUGUGUAAGUAACUAUGCACGUCUUGACGGUACCUAAUCAGAAAGCCACGGCUAACUACGUG